rnacentral:rRNA from 1 species
AACGAACGCUGGCGGCGUGCCUAAUACAUGCAAGUCGAGCGAAUCUUUUGGGAGCUUGCUCCCGAAAGAUUAGCGGCGGACGGGUGAGUAACACGUGGGCAACCUGCCUAUAAGACUGGGAUAACUUCGGGAAACCGGAGCUAAUACCGGAUACGUUCUUUUCUCGCAUGAGAGAAGAUGGAAAGACGGUCUCGGCUGUCACUUAUAGAUGGGCCCGCGGCGCAUUAGCUAGUUGGUGGGGUAAUGGCUCACCAAGGCGCCGAUGCGUAGCCGACCUGAGAGGGGAUUCGGCCACACUGGGACUGAGACACGGCCCAGACUCCUACGGGAGGCAGCAGUAGGGAAUCUUCCGCAAUGGACGAAAGUCUGACGGAGCAACGCCGCGUGAACGAAGAAGGCCUUCGGGUCGUAAAGUUCUGUUGUUAGGGAAGAACAAGUACCAGAGUAACUGCUGGUACCUUGACGGUACCUAACCAGAAAGCCACGGCUAACUAUGUGCCAGCCGCCGCGGUAAUAC